GAUGGUGCACCCAGGGGCGAGCGAGGGCCUGUGCUGGCUCGACUGGAGCGCGUUCACUGUUUUUACCGCAGGAAGUAAGACAAAAAGAGCAGCGGCAGGAAUGUUUAUGAAUACCUCCAGUCCCCGAAGAGCUGCGGGCUGACCUGAUUAUCACCUGCGUGUAAUUCCACGGUCGGGGAGGAGCUGCGGCUCCUGGAGGAAAAGGGGGAGGUUGAAUGAAAGAUGCACUCCAGGAAGAUCACACGCAGCACAGCCCCGGAAGAUAAACACAGACAUAAAAACACACAUUGGGUAGAAAAAGAAAACAACAGCAACAUAAAGAAAGGCAGAUAUUUAUCAGUCAAGCUUGUUUUGUUGUUGCAUGCAUUCUUCCGACAUGAGCUCUGACUGUGGCCUUUUGUGAAAGAGGAAAUCAAAUGGUGGGGCUAACAGGAGCAAGAGCUCCAACCCCCUGCAGCAUAUACAAACAGAAAUAAACCCAGGCCGCCUGCAUCUAACAAUAGGAAAGCAACUUUUUCUUCAAGGCUACAGCAAAGUUUGAGGAGUCGCUUAAAAGCUGUAGGGUUUGUGGAGCCGAUGGAGGGAAGCCACAGUUUUACGGGUUCAAUGUGCUUCAGAAAGGGAACGCGGUGAGAAGGACCAGACCCCCGGUCCGUCCAGGCAUCUACGCUGGGUUGCAGGCGUAGCCACAAAGCAGCUCUGUCUUCAUUUCAGCGGGGGCACAAUGCAUGUCCAUGUGCUGACCGGUUGGCACAAUAGAUCAGAGGAGGCCAAAGCGUAGCUGGGUGCUGCCAUCUUCUGGACAAGUCUCA